rnacentral:rRNA from 1 species
AGGACGAACGCUGGCGGCGUGCUUAACACAUGCAAGUCGAGCGGUGAGGCCCUUUCGGGGGUACACGAGCGGCGAACGGGUGAGUAACACGUGAGCAAUCUGCCCUUCACUUCGGGAUAAGCCUCGGAAACAGGGUCUAAUACCGGAUAUGACCGCGCUACGCAUGUGGUGUGGUGAAAGUUCUGGCGGUGGAGGAUGAGCUCGCGGCCUAUCAGCUUGUUGGU